UUGAUAUGGAGAGAGAGGAGGUUGCGGUUCAUCCUACGGUAUGUACUACUCCGUUGGCUGCCUAGGAUGACAUAACAGUGUAGGCAGCUUGGCCCUCUGAGGGUCGAAUGACCAAAGAAGCUCUCUGUGCUAGGGACACUCCCCUGAAUGACCACUCGCCUCCUAUCAUGAAGGAUUUGCCCAAGCAUGUAGACUUCGUGGUGCCUCCGGGGGAGAAAACUUUGCUUCCCAGGGAGACCUCUCAUCACAUGGGGGUCUCCGAGUGACCUGUGGUACAUAGCCCUAGUAAUGUUCUAGCAGGGGGCCAUAUUCCCUUAAGGCUAGCGCUCAUGGCUGAAGAGGUUGAGUAGGUGGAGGCUGCUGAGGCCAGGGGCUCUGUGUGGCUUUCAACGAUGAGAACCGGAUAAGGAUCGUUCUUCUCGACGAUUGCUUGAUUUUCAGUGAACUUCAUGGCUGGCUUUUGGACCCACAUAUGCCUUUAUACCCUUGAUUUCUUGGUCAUAGGUGAGAUGACCAUGCAGAAGCUUGGCCGGAGGGAGAGGGCAAUGAUCGGUCGGAGGCAUUUGACCCAGCGGACAGGCUGAACGAGCGGGUGGAGAGGCUGCACACCUCUGUCGCGUCUAAGGACAAAAAUUUUGCCUCUCUCCAAACAAUUGAAGGAGGUCGAGAGUCGAGUCCUAGGUAGCUCAGAACUCCCUUAUUGAUGCUCGGGAAUGGGUGUUAAUUAUGGGGGCCCAGGUCUCGACUGCCAUGGAAGCUCGGGAGGUUGAUAAGUCCUGUUGGGAAGAGGAGAAGGAGAUGUUGGCGGCGUUUGCGAGCAUCUAAGCCAAUUUGAACUCUGCCCUGGGCUCAACUGGAGGAAGAGAAGACCUCUUUGUUGGGGGAAUGGAUGGCCAGGGAGAAUGCCAAGCGACGGGUAACUUAGUUGGAGGCAAAUUUCAAGUCCUUCCAUGAGAUAAUACCCACUGUUCAGGCCUGCGCAAUAGAGGACUACAAGGUUUUGAAAGACUUUGAGGAGUACGUCUCCUCCUUCCACAUAGAUGCUUAUAUAUCCAUGGGGCCUGCGAGUGUCGAGACUUUGUUCUUGUCGAGCAACCAACCUUCAAUUUUGAACCCUUCACGCAUGUCAAUUCCAACGGAGGAGAUAUCGGAGGAGGAAAAUCUUGAGAGGCGGUUCAGAAUACCAUCAGUGCCCUCGUGGAUCUAUCGAGUGGCGAGGACGAAGAGAUGGAGAUAAACGACACUUGAUCUUUUUUACUCUUAUAAAGUUGCCUAUUUUAAAAUGAAAUUUUUUUUCUUGCAA